GGAGACUGAAGCAGGAAGUAGACAGAUGUCGAGUCAUCAGCAAACAGAUGAUGAUCCGGAGCAACUGAGGGGGUCAGUAUCUUGCCCAGGGAUACUUCAACAUGGUCACAGGAGAAGUGAAGAUCGAACCAGCAACUUUAAGCCCACUCAUACAUGCACAAUAAAGAUGCGGUGAUGAUCGGAGUGCCGGUGAACACAUCAGGAGGUCGUGUAGCGGGAAUGACGGACUAAAUCAAGAUCUUCCAUCCCGACUCACCCUCCACGCAGCGGCAGCCGGACUGCAGCACCCAGGCGUACAUGUCGGUCUUGGAAUGUGAGAGGAGCUGGUCACCGGUCAGGUAGGUGUUAUGAGAGGAGGCGAUGAAGUAGUUACUCAGAGGCUGAUCCAUGUCCUGAUUGACCUCAUUGUGCAAAGGGUUGAAAAUGUCACAUGUUGGACUUCGCAUGAAACUUGUAAAACCUGCAUGGAAACAUCAGGGAUGCAAUAUUGAUUUGUUGAUAAAAGCCAUUCAGUUCUAUUUAUUCUAUUAAUGUCAACUGUCAGUAUUAAAGAAAGACACAUUUCUCCAUCAGUCGAUUGCAUGUUUACAAUCCUAACUUGGAAAUAAUAGACAAUGGCCAUAUGGAACUCAAUAUUCUUCUUCAAUCGUCAUACAUUUUCUUGUUGCAAUAUAACUUUAUUCCCAUAAUCCUUAAACUUUGAUAUUUUGUAUUUUUACAACCUUUUCCCCAACCUACUGUUCCAAAACGACAACUUUGUUGUGUUUUGCUUGCUUACAAAUAUAUUACAACUUACAAUAUUAGUACGGAUGCUCCGAUCAAUCGGCCACCAAUUAGUAUCGGCUGAUAUCAGUGAAAAAUUAUGCUAUUGAUAUCGGGACGCAUAUGAAAGUAUAUGUGUUUUAUACAGCGUUUUUGUAAUAUCAGUUUUCACGAUUGGCAAAAAAAUCUGAUCCAAUAUCACAUUUUUAUGCUGAUAUCGGGCCGAUAAUUAUCAGUCAUCCGUAACUCUUUCAUUAGUUUCGGCCUUUUUUUCCGUUCUUUAAUAAUCAGCAGUCGAACAUGGGCAAGUUUCAGCCAAAUAUCCCUUCUCAACAAAAUGGCUUUUUGUGAAAAGAUACAUUGGCAAAAAUUUUUGCCAUUUAUAUUUAAGCCACAAUGUCUAAACAACGAUGCCACGACAUAAGGACAAACAAUUGUUGUUUUACAUGAAAACGCUUAUUUAAAUAACCAUUUUUUUUUAACAAAUAUGAACUAUUUACAGUUUUCACAUUUCAAACUGAACUGAGUGUGUGCAAGCGGUAAAAUGUCCCUUCAAUGUGUAACCUUGGUGCAACACGGCAAGAUGCCUUUUCACUUCCUGGUUGCUGUGGCACAUGUAUUUCUAUGGGGAAGAUGCAGGCCGAGGUCGUAUAAAAUGCACUUCUUUCACUUUUUUUCGUUUUCGACAUGUUGUCUUCUAUUUUAUGGUAAUGGUAAUGGUUUUAUUUCAUUUGAACAUGCAUCAGAUUACAAUUGAGUGCAUCCCAUAAUCAGUUCACAGUUCCACAUGUCCAAAAGGAGUAGGAAGAAGCAAAGCUUAUUAAAUCCUACCCCUCCAUCUGGUACUUUUACAAUCAGUAACUGUUACAUUUGUUCACUUCCUGCUUUCCAUAAUAUAGUUUACUUUUACAAUCAAUAACAAUUUCAUUUGUUCACUUCCUGCUUUCCAUAAUACAGUUUAAGGUUUUUUUUUGUUUUUUUUUAAUAAUGUACCACAUACCGAAGUACAAGGUGAUAUGACCAUACAAUGCCAUAAUGGGUACCAUAGUAAGUGUCAAUAUAGUGAUAUAUAUAGCACAUCAUGACUGGUUCAAGACUCUUCAUCCUUGUAUUUAGCAAACAUCAACUGCUUGUAUUGUUUCUUCAAUUGGCUCAUCGUUGUGCAUUGUUUGAGUUCCUUACUCAAUCCAUUCCAUAGUUUGAUUCCACAUACUGAAAUGCUAUGGCUUUUUAACGUAGUCCUAGUAUAUACGUGUUUCAAAUUUAAAUUUUAGAGUUGCAUAAUCACCUCUUUGUGCCUCUCGUGCAAAAAAAAAAAAGAUGUACAAACUAACUAACUAACUAUAUGUUUCUUCCACAUAUUUUUCUUACACAAUUUUACAUGUUUAAAGAGGUGGUGCAUCACAUCCACCUUGUCGUUGUAAAAUAACACCAUAUCAAUACGGCGUGGCAACAUGACAAGAUCUCUUCAUCCAUCUCCAACCCAAGCACAAGGAAGUGAUGGAUGUGCUUCUCUGUCUUUGUAAUGGUAACGCAUGAGGACCCACAAGAGCGAAGAAAGCCUUCAUUCACCCCGGCGGCAUGGAUGAAUGAGACGGGAAUAUCAAACGGAUGAGAGAACUGCCAGAGUCAGUCGGUUGGGGGUGGAGCCCGUUGUGGUGGAGAAAUGGACUCAAUGCAGAUGUGUGAGAGAAAAUGCAUUUAUCUGUCUGGACAUCCAUCUUGUCACACUUCCAUUAAAUCCUCGCAAUAUUAGCAAUUCUUAUGACGGGAAUAUUCCAUCUGAUUUGCGGUUAUCGUGCUGAGAACAGGUUAGUUCAAUAGCAUGUGUGUCACAUUGUGGGCCUGUAGACAUCACCCGCCACGGCGUGAAUGCACGACUCACGGCGCCUCCUACGAUGACAUUAGUGUCGCUCCUACACCUUCUCAUCGCCUCCAGCUGGCUGUUUUCGCUCAGACUCCCCAAUUUUCUCAGGCCUCUUCACUCUGUCACCUCCCUUGCAACCUGCAACCUCCCUUCAACCUGCAAGCAGCCUGCCUUGCCAUGACACUGUGGGAAAGGGGGCCGGCUGGCGAGCAUUUCCAAAGACUAAAUUAUUUAUGACAAAAGUAUUUGGAAAGCUGGCCAUUACGAAAAUGUACGAGUUCCUACUUAUUUUUUGCAGCUGUAAGACUUUCUACUCUUCUGGUAAGAUUUUCUCCAGGAUGUUUGAGUAUUUUUGUCAAACGCCGGCGAAAUCUGUCUGAAUCUUUUCUUCCAGAGCAUAAAUAGAAGCUAGCAGUGGUUAGCUUAAUUUUGGAUGCCAAGUAGUUGUGUGUGUGCAUACGCGACGGGCUGGAUGAGUAUAUUUUCACCACUUUGUGUUUUAUUUCUUUAAUGUUUGGACGUUUUACAAUGUCCAAUGAAGAUGUGCAGUGAAAGAAAAAUAUGAGAAGCACGUUUAUUUAACUUACCCUCGAUUCCCAGGACACCUUUUUCUUUGUUCUCAUCCGCCGCCUCAAAUUUGUUGAUGAUUUCUGCCACGUAUUCUGGGGUCACAUUGACCAUCUGCGGAAAGAAAAAGCUCAAUGCCUUGUUUGGUUCUGUAACAUCAUAUUCACAAUCAUCAAGGCUAAUUUCUAAGCAUACACACGCCUGAUGAAAAUGUUAAGACCAUUGGAAAAAUGGCAAGAAUGUAUAUUUUGCACUGUAGGAUCUUAAGGAGGUUCUAAGUAGAGCAAAAAAGAAUGGGAGUGGCACGGCAUUAUAAAGAGGCCAAGUGCUCUCUGGAACUGAUUUUUGUAAACUUCCAUUCCCAUCCAUCCCCACUGCUCCUAUUGAAGGAUCAUGAUGGCGCCCUCUCCACUGUGCCAUCUGGAAAACAUCUCAGGUGGGAUCUCCUUGUCAUGCCAGUAACGUUAGAUGCCAUCAGGACCGUCAAGAGAGAAUAAAACGUUCUUCCACUUUCCAAAGCCUUCUCUGGCAGACGCGGUCUGAUGGUUAUUCACCAGUAACAACCUUCAUUCGGGCCAAGGAUGAUGCUGUGUCUUGAUGGACAGCCAAUAGGAUCCUCCGACUCAGGGUUGGUGAUAUUUUUAGGGGCUACCACUUGAUUUGUUUUUUGUUUUGUUAUUUACUACAUCGGCGGGGGGUGCACGGCGGGCGAGUGGUUAGCGCGUAGACCUCACAGCUAGGAGACCAGGGUUCAAUUCCACCCUCAGCCAUCUCUGUGUGGAGUUUGCAUGUUCUCCCUGUGUAUGUGUGGGUUUGCUCCGGGUACUCCUGUUUCCUCCCACAUUCCAAAAACAUGCUAGGUUAAUUGGCGACUCCAAAUUGUCCAUAGGUAUGAAUGCGAGUGUGAAUGGUUGUUUGUCUAUAUGUGCCCUGUGAUUGGCUGGCGACCAGUCCAGGGUGUACCCCGCCUCUUUUUUUUUGUCUCACUCCCAUUCCUUUUUUGCAUUUUGAAUCUCUACUUAGAAGAUCCAAUAGGGAAUAGUCCAAUAGUGAACACAAAAUGUAGCUUUUAAUUAACACUUAAUUUAAUAACUUUAAUUUAAUCUUAUUAAUGGAGGAAAAAAGACAAACCUACAUGGAAGUGAUUGCCCCCGCCCUCCUAUUAAUACAUAACUGCGAUUAAUUGAAAUCUAUCAGUCUGGAAAAAGGUUAUAAAGCCAUUUCUAAAGCUUUGGAACUCCAGCCAACCACAGUGAGAGCCAUUAUCCACAAAUUGUGAAAACAUGGAACAGUGGUGAACCUUCCAAGGAGUGUCCGUCGUGCAGCCCUCCAAUAAUAAUAAUAAUAAUAAUAAUAUGCAUAUUAAUAAUAAUAAUAAUAAUAAUAAUAAUAAAUAGUAUAUCCA